rnacentral:lncRNA from 1 species
UUAAAUAUAUAAAUAUAUAUUAAGCUUAAUAUAUAAAGAUGUUAUAUACGAUAAUAUAUGUAGAGAUGAAUGAGAUAUAUAUGAAUCAUUUCCACUUCCUUCGUCCGAACAUGCCAUGCUUGCCUCGUUUGCCUCCGAACAUGCCGUGCUUACCACGCUUGUACUUACCACCUCCGAACAUACUGUGCUUCCCUCGCUUGUACUUGCCACCUCCGAAGAACCCUCUUUUGUAUUUUCCGUGGCCGUAACCUCCGUGAUGACCUGCGUGGUGACCUCCCAUUGCGGCCGCGGCAGCUGUUGCCGCUCCUGCUAUUAGUCCCCCG